UAGGGAAUAUUAGAAAUGGACGAAAGUCUGAUCUAGCAACACCGCAUGUGCGAAGAAGGCAUUCGGGUUGUAAAGCACUUUUUGGAAGGAUUAGGAAGGAAUGUACUUCCAGAAUAAGUCUCGGCUAACUACGUGCCAGCAGCCGCGGUAACACGUAGGAGGCAAACGUUAUCCGGAUUUACUGGGCGUAAAGCGCGUGUAGGUGGUUCUGUAAGUAGGGCGUGAAAGCUCCUGGCUCAACUGGGAGAGGCCGUUCUAAACUGCAGAGCUAGAGGAUGGUAGAGGGAGGUGUAAUUCCGGGUGUAGCGGUGGAAUGCGCAGAUAUCCGGAGGAACACCAGUGGCGAAAGCGGCCUCCUGGACCAUUCCUGACACUCAGACGCGAAAUCUAGGGUAGCAAACG
rnacentral:rRNA from 1 species